rfam:Sus scrofa chromosome 7.
GCUUUGGAAGACACCCCCCCUGAGUAUAGGCGAGAAGAUGAGAUUAUUUGCUUAAAAUAUUAAAACCACUACCACCACCAUCACCACCACCAACAAAACCCAAGGCAAGCAAAUUUUGUGGCAUCAACAAAAGCCCAGGUCACGUGAGUAAGCAUGGAGUUAUUUUUUAAUGAACACAGAUUAAGGGCUUAACUUGUCUGCCCUUUCUUUCUAAAUUAUGCUGCUUUCAAAGAAAAAAAACUAAUAAAACGCCAUCCAAACUAAAACUAG